rnacentral:rRNA from 1 species
AUUGAACGCUGGCGNCNUUNCUUACACAUGCAAGUCGAACGGCAGCACGGGAGCAAUCCUGGUGGCGAGUGGCGAACGGGUGAGUAAUGUAUCGGAACGUGCCCAGUCGUGGGGGAUAACGUAGCGAAAGCUACGCUAAUACCGCAUACGAUCUACGGAUGAAAGCGGGGGAUCGCAAGACCUCGCGCGGACGGAGCGGCCGAUGGCAGAUUAGGUAGUUGGUGGGAUAAAAGCUUACCAAGCCGACGAUCUGUAGCUGGUCUGAGGGGACGACCAGCCACACUGGGACUGAGACACGGCCCAGACUCCUACGGGAGGCAGCAGUGGGGAAUUUUGGACAAUGGGCGCAAGCCUGAUCCAGCAAUGCCGCGUGCAGGAUGAAGGCCUUCGGGUUGUAAACUGCUUUUGUACGGAGCGAAAAGGCUCUCUCUAAUACAGGGGGCUCAUGACGGUACCGUAAGAAUAAGCACCGGCUAACUACGUG